ACGGAAGGCAGCAGUGAGGAAUAUUGGUCAAUGGGCGGAAGCCUGAACCAGCCAAGUCGCGUGAAGGAUGAAGGUAUUAUGUAUUGUAAACUUCUUUAGCAGUGGAGCAAUAAGGGAGUCGUGACUCCUGAUGCAAGUACACUGAAAAUAAGGAUCGGCUAACUCCGUGCCAGCAGCCGCGGUAAUACGGAGGAUCCGAGCGUUAUCCGGAUUUAUUGGGUUUAAAGGGUGCGCAGGCGGUUUUUUAAGUCAGUGGUUAAAUCGCGGAGCUCAACUCCGUCCCGCCAUUGAUACUGGGAGACUUGAUUGCGGUCGAGGUUGGCGGAAUUCGUCGUGUAGCGGUGAAAUGCAUAGAUAUGACGAAGAACACCGAUUGCGUAGGCAGCUGACCAGGCCGUAAAUGACGCUCAUGCACGAAAGUGCGGGGAUCGAACAGGAUUAGAUACCCUGGUA
rnacentral:rRNA from 1 species